rnacentral:rRNA from 1 species
GACGAACCGUGCAAACGUUGUUCGGAAUCACUGGGCUUAAAGGGCGCGUAGGCGGGCCAGCCAGUCUGUGGUGAAAGCCUCCAGCUUAACUGGAGAAGUGCCGUGGAUACUGCUGGCCUCGAGGAGGAUAGGGGCAUCUGGAACGGUCGGUGGAGCGGUGAAAUGCGUUGAUAUCGACCGGAACUCCGGUGGCGAAGGCGGUCUUCUGGACGGUGACUGACGCUGAGGCGCGAAAGCGUGGGGAGCAAACGGG